CUUUGUUAUAGCAGCCCUAGGAAACUAAUACACACAUAGGAGCUUUUCCCUGCUUCAGCCUUAAAGACACAUGCCCUUUGUGCUCACAGUCCAUUGGCCAGAGGCAGUUCUGUGGCCCUACUGACCACAAAGGGACUGGGAAGAAUGCUCAGAAGAAGAUAAAUAGAUGUUGGAAACCAGAUGUCAUGAGCUUAACAGAAUCUGCAAUUACAUCUGACACCUUGAUGCCUUCCUUUCCUUUGGAACUUUCUUUCUUCUGUGGCAGCAGUCAGAAGCUUCCCCAAGGAGGGUGGAUGCUGAGAUAGUCUCUCCAUGCUCACUUGGAGGCCUCAGAUUCCAGAGAACAGAGCUACAAGACAGAAGAGGGUGGCCUGGUCUGCUUCAGACAUGUGAUGUGAAUGAGAAAGAAUCUUCUAAUGUCAGCGUCACAAAAGACAAAGCCUGUGGCAAUAUUUCAGAUUAAAAGAGGCAACUAAUUGCAGUAUUCACCCCUAGAAUGGAUCAUAUACGAGAAGGGGGAUAAUGCUACAAGAAACAUACUAAGAUCAACUGAUGAAAUUAAAAUAUGAAUAUGAGAGGAGAUUUUAAGAAGUAUUAGUGUUAUCUGUAAAGAUGACAAUUGUAACUAUAGUUACAUAGGAGACCUCUCUAUUCUUAGGGCAUAUACACCUAAGUAUUUAGGGACAAAGAACCACAUGUUAUGUAAGUUAAAUGCAAAUGGGGUAAAAUGUUAACAAUGAGUAAAUCUGGAUAAAAGAUAUUUGGAUGUUCCUUGUACUAUUUUUAGUUUUGCAACUUUUUGUAAGCUUGAAAUAAUUUCCAAAUUGUUAAAAAAUAAAAUGUU
rnacentral:lncRNA from 1 species